AUGUCACCAGCCAAAGAAGAAACAGAGUCCGCUUCAAAUAUAAAUUCAAAUUCUUCACUCAUCAGUUCUGUUACAUCAAUUCCACAAAUUCAAAUGAAUGAAACGUGCCACAAUUUAAUUACUGAUUCAAGAGAAGAUUUUGCAUCUGCUCAAAUGUCGGAUUCAGUGGAAAUCCUAGAAAAUUCAGCAAAGAAUCAACUUUUUACAGGACCUGUCGGACAGACAGUUCAUAGAAUUUCAGGUGCUAACAGUAAGCAUUCCACUGUGCACACAAGUAGUGGGAAGACUGUAAGCAUUCACAAGAUGGCUUUAGAACAAGACAAGAACAAGACACAGGAAGACCAUGAAAUAGGAGAUAAAGGAUCUGACAUUGACACCUUUGCACUGGAACCGUAUGCCAGUCAUAACACCGCAUUUACAUUUGAGACUUUCGUGGCACCACUUUACCAACAGCUGUUUGGCAGAAUGAAAAAUGAAAUGAAAGCUCCUGCUGAGAAGAGGUGCUUAGAAGAUGCCCAGAAAUGCGGAACACUGAAUUCUUCAAAUGCUCUGCACAGCACCAUUAACAUUUGGCCUGCGACGUGUCUCUCUAGGAAGAACAGUUCUGAUGGAACAUCUAAAGAUAUUCCAGUGACCGAAGAGGAAUUCCAGGAGUUAGUUCCACAAGAUGACAUCACUCUGCAAGAUGACAUACAACAGGCUUUCACCCCAGUGUCCGAUUCUCGUCAACAGUCUUUGUCAGAGAUCGAGCCUCUAAGAAAGCAUGAUGUAACUCUGUGUCACACACCACUCUUAGAAGAGGGAGAGGAAAUAGUUGGGCAGAGUUCUACAUUGAGCCAACAGGCAUUGCUAAAUGUGAUGGCUGUGCAUUCACCAACUUCCCUGAGCCAUGGUCAAUUCCAGGUUGAAGUUGUGGGGGACAAAACGCUCAUUCAUUCUCAAAGAAAAGAAGACACAACACCAAUGCAGCAACAAACUCAAGAACACACAUGUAGCCAGACCCAGACCCUCAUGGGUUCAACAGUAAUGCAGACUGAAAUCCCAAGUGGUCCAACAGACACCCAAACACCAGAUGGCAUAUUUGAACCGCUAAAAAUUUCAACAGAGGACACAACAUGUCUGCAUUCCCAAACACUAGAGAAGACAACUGAAAUCCAGGCCCAAUUUAAAGACGACACACCUCUCAUUCGGGGACCAAAUUCAGAGGACAUAUCUAUUCUGCCUCAAAGACAAGAAGACAUGGAUAUUACAGCAGAAAAUCAAGCUGAAGCAUCAUUCAUCCACACUCCAUCAGCAGAGGACCUAUCACCUAUCCAAAUAGCAGAAGUCAGAGAAUGUAACAUGGCUCAAACUCAAGAAGACACAUCAUUUUCAGAGGGUACACCAGCCAUUCAGUCUCAAACAUGCAUUCAGACACAAAAUCCAGAGGACAGAAGACUCCUUCAGUCCAAUGAUGAAGAUAAACAUAGUCUUUUCCAGUACCCAAUUCCAGAGCAAAUUAAAAUAUCCCCUACGAAUACUCAAAUUCAAGAGGACAAAGCAUUCACCCAGAGACCAGUACUACCAUAUAUGGCUCCUAUCCAGACCCUAAUUCCAAAGGGCAUGAUGCUCAGUCAGAUCGAAAGUAAAGAAGGAACACACGUCUUCCAGACCAAAUUUUCCCGGAAUACAUCAUUCACUGAAAUUCCAGACAACGACCAGCUCACCAAUAAACAAAGUCAAGAAGAUGUAUUGCUUAUACAUACCCACAAUCUGGACGUUACAGAUGCAACAGUCAUACCAGCAAAAGACAACUCGGCAAUACUAGUCCAGACUCAUAUUACUGAGGACACAAAACCUGCCAGUGACUCAAUUCCAGAUGGUCUAGCAUGUAUGGACACACAGUUUCCAAAAGACACAACUAUCCAGAUCCAUUCACCAGAAAGUGCACCGUCCAUUCAGACCAAAAUAAAAGGGGACAAAGACGUCCAGGACUCCAUUUCAAAGAGCCCAUUGACAAUCUCGAAGACCCAAAUUCUGCUACACAUGCCGGUAUUUAGAGAGAACACUGGAUGUAGUCAGGACAUAAAUCCAGGGGCCACAAAAGUCCCAUUAGAAAAAGCUGUGGACAAUGCAUUCAACCAGUCCAGAACUCAAGGCCACCCUGAAAUUCUGAAGGAUCCUGAAGAGGCACAAACAAAAAAAUGUGAAAAUGAUACGCCUUUCUUGGAAGCAGACAUGUCUGGCUAUACAUUUAGCCAAACUCUUGGGAAUAUGUUAUUCCCAAAUAAUGCAUCUAAAGCAUCAGAAGAUGUAGAAUUCCAACAUGAACCAACAGUGAGCCAGAGUCCAGAAAAGCUGCCAGAAGUUUUGGAGGACACAGCACUCUUCACAACUACAGACUUACAUGACACUCGCACAAACAUGACCCACAUUCUUGAAAAAGCGAAACUGGUGCGGUGUUCCCAAAUUCCAGAAGAUGCUCAUGAGUUGCAUGAAACAACCAUUAACUCAAACAAUGUACUCUUGUUGGAGACUACGAAACUGAGGGAAGAGCUUGAGGGGUUCGAGAAGGUUCGAGAUGCGGAUGAUAAAAGAAAAAUAUCCUCUGAUUCAUUGAAAAGCUACAUUAAUGAUGAGAACAUCCCAACACAAACAAUUAAGGGAGACCAAGAAGAUGAGAGGCCAGAGUACAUAAUUGAGAAAGAUUAUGAAACACUAAAUAACUAUGGUAGAACACACUUUAUAGAGGAAGAAGAAAAUAAGGAAAAGGAUGGAAGAGAAGAUACGGAGGAGCGAGUUGGGAAUUGCAUGGGUUAUAUUGUAAAUGAUGAUAUCUCAGAUGGAGUUACUGAACAGCUGCCAGUUGUUCAGGAUGUGUUAUUAGACCCCAUGUUGGAGGGAUUAUAUAUAAAUAAUGACCAUACAGUUGAGAAGGAUGAUGCAGGUGCCUGUAGUGUUGUUCCAGAAGAAGAUCAGGAGCACCAACGGGGCACAAAAGCAGUAAGAGAUGAGGCACCAGUCAACUCUGACAGCAGCUCCACAUCGUCUUUGUCAGACGAUGAAAUGGAACUCUACAUGCACGCUUUAAAGGCAGCACAGUCAACUGGACAUGCUGGUGGUGGAAACCAAGAAAAACCAUCCUACUUCAAUAAGAAACGUCCUUCUGUAAGCAGAGGACAGGCGUUGCCAUCCAUCACUGAAUCUCUGGAAGAGGACCAUCAAACGGCAGAACAAAAGAGCCAACAAAGCACAAACCAACAGCCUCCUCCUGCCAAUACUCCAGGAAUUCUUGUACAGCAAGACAACUUCUCUUUUAAUGGAUCAAGGACCUUUAUCCUUUCGCUGCUGUUUGUGAUUUUUUUGGUCAUCGCUCACUUCUGUGACUUUUUAGCUUGUGUAGCUCUUUAUCUGUUUUCCAUCUACUGGCUUUGUAGUCACAGUGACCCAGUGGGUAAACAUAAAGGAUAG
ensembl:lncRNA